rnacentral:rRNA from 1 species
GACGAACGCUGGCGGCGUGCUUAACACAUGCAAGUCGAACGGAAAGGCCCUGCUUUUGUGGGGUGCUCGAGUGGCGAACGGGUGAGUAACACGUGAGUAACCUGCCCUUGACUUAGGGAUAACUUCAGGAAACUGGGGCUAAUACCGGAUAGGAGCUCCUGCUGCAUGGUGGGGGUUGGAAAGUUUCGGCGGUUGGGGAUGGACUCGCGGCUUAUCAGCUUGUUGGUGGGGUAGUGGCUUACCAAGGCUUUGACGGGUAGCCGGCCUGAGAGGGUGACCGGCCACAUUGGGACUGCGAUACGGCCCAGACUCCUACGGGAGGCAGCAGUGGGGAAUAUUGCACAAUGGGCCGAAGCCUGAUGCAGCAACGCCGCGUGCGGGAUGACGGCCUUCGGGGUGUAAACCGCUUUCGCCUGUGACGAAGCGUGAGUGACGGUAAUGGGUAAAGAAGCACCGGCUAACUACGUG